CAUGAAAUGAAUUUAGAACUUGGGAAACAGAUACAUGGCUUGACAAUUAAAUCAGGAUAUGGAAGUCAUGUUUCAGUUUGUAAUGUAUUGAUCUCGACAUAUUCAAAGUGUGAGGUUACUGAAGAUGCAAAAUUAGUCUUUCAGUGCAUGAAUGAUCGCAACAUAGUGUCUUGGACAACUAUGAUUUCAAUAGACGAAGAAGAUGCCAUCUCUCUAUUUAAUGAGGUGAGAUUGGAUGGAGUAUAUCCAAAUGAUGUUACAUUUGUUGGACUAAUCCAUGCUAUAUCAAUUAGAAAGUUGGUGGAGGAAGGCGAAAUGAUUCAUGGGUUUUGCAUUAAGACUGGCUUUUUAUCAAAGCAUAAUGUUUGCAACAGCUUGGGUAUGCUAAGUUUCAGUCCAUGCAUGACUCCAUCAAAGUUUUUGAGGAGUUCAACCGCAGAGAAAACAUAUCGUGGAAUGCUUUGAUUUCAGGGUAUGCUCAGAACGUGCUGUGUCAAGAUGCACUAAAAGCAUUCUUUUUAGCAACUAUGGAGUCAAAGCCAAACAAUUACACAUUUGGUAGGGUCUUGAGUGCAAUUGGUGAUGCUCAGGAUAUUUCUCUGCAAUAUGGCCAAUGAUGCCACUCUUCCUUGAUCAAACUUGGAUUAGUGACUGCCCCAAUUAUCGCAGGUGCUCUUCUUGAUAUGUAUGCAAAGCGAGGAAGCAUUUGUCAGUCCAAAAGAGUUUUCAGUGAGACGCCUCAUAAAAGUCAGUUUGCUUGGACUGCAAUAAUAUCUGCAUAUGCUGGGCAUGGAGACUAUGACUCAGUGAUAGAAUUGUUCAAGGAGAUGGAGGGAGAAGGGGUAAGACCUGAUUCAGUCACAUUUCUUUCUAUACUAACAGCAUGCAGCAGAAAUGGAAUGGUGGAGAUGGGCCAUCACCUCUUUCAUUCAAUGGUGAAAGACUAUCAUAUUGAACCAUCUCCUCAACAUUAUUCAAGCAUGGUGGACAUGUUGGGACGUGCAGGGAAAUUGGAGGAAGCAGAGGAAUUGAUGAGUCAGAUCCCGGGACAGCCAGGGUUUUCGUUGUUGCAAAGCCUGCUUGGGGCUUGCAGGAUCCAUGGGAAUGUGGAGAUGGCGGAGAGAGUAGCCAAUACAUUGAUGAGAUUGGAACCAAUGGAAUCGGGUUCUUUUGUGUUGAUGUCCAACUUGUAUGCUGAGAAAGGGGACUGGGAAAUGGUGGCAAAAGAUGGCAAGCACAGUGAUGUAGAUGGCAAUGAUCAUACCCAAAAUGAAGGGAAGAAAUUGAAAAUAUCUGAUCAGUUUGAUGCCUGGUGGGUGAUAAAUUCUCAUCAAUUAGCAAAGAAAACAACGUAUACAAUUUAG